GAAGGGCAGAUCGAAAUAGCGAUAUGUUUCACUGAUGAAAAAGAAAAAAACAGUACAAAAUAUUAGCAGGCCGAAAAUGCAUAGUAGUGAAAUUAAUUAAACACAAAGACCAAUUAAAAAAUAACAAAAAGCAACUAAACAAAAAUCCUUAUCUCUGUUCAGAAUUUGAAACCAGUUUCAUCAUUGUCAGCAUGCAAUCACAACAGGGUCUUAAGAAAUCCCAGAAAAAAAAAAUUGAAAAU
rnacentral:misc_RNA from 1 species